UAAGUCGCUGGUCAUAGACGCGAAACCUAGUGAUCUAGGCCUGUCCAGGCUGAAGCUGAGGUAAGACUCAGUGGAGGGCCGAACUCACCGCCGUUGAAAAGUUGGGAGAUGAGAUAGGUCUAGGGGUGAAAAGCCAAUCGAACUAGGAGAUAGCUCGUUCUCUCCGAAAUGCAUUUAGGUGCAGCCUUGAUGUUAAGAUAUGUGGGGGUAGAGCUCUGUAUGAUCUAGGGGGCGUACUGCUUACCGAAAUCAAGCAAACUUCGAAUACCAUAUAUUAUGUUCAGGAGUGAGUCCGUGGAUGACAAGGUCCGCGGACGAGAGGGGAACAGCCCAGACCACCAGCUAAGGUCCCAAAUUAUGUCUAAGUGGGAAAGGAGGUGGAUAUUCACAGACAACCAGGAGGUUGGCUUAGAAGCAGCCAUACCUUGAAAGAGUGCGUAAUAGCUCACUGGUCGAGAGUAUCUGCGCCGAAGAUGUAACGGGGCUAAGACAUAAACCGAAGCUGCGGAGGCGUGCCUGCACGCCUGGUAGGAGAGCGUUCUGUAGGCCGUUGAAGGAAUGCCGCAAGGCCGUUCUGGAGGUAUCAGAAGUGAGAAUGCAGGAAUGAGUAGCGAGAAGGCGGGCGAGAAUCCCGCCGGCCGGAAGUCCAAGGUUUCCAGGGGAAGGUUUGUCCGCCCUGGGGGAGUCGGGACCUAAGCAUAAGCAAAAAUGUGAUGGCGAAUGGAAAACAGGUUAAUAUUCCUGUACCACUAUUAUCGCUUGAGAGACGGAGUGACGCAGGAAGGUAUGUGAGAAGACUGACGGAAUAGUCUUUCUAAGGGCGUAGCAUGGACACGCAGGUAAAUCCGCGUGUCUAAAUGUGAGACCUGAUGGGCAAGUGCAUUAGCAUAAGUUACAGAUCCUACACUGCCAAGAAAAACUUCUAUCGAUGAAAAAUAGUGCCCGUACUGUAAACCGACACAGGUGGACAGAGUGAGAAACUUAAGGCCGACAGGAUAACUCUAGCUAAGGAACUCUGCAAAAUAGCCCCGUAACUUCGGGAGAAGGGGUGCCUGACAUACCUGAGAGGAGAAGCGCCUCAAGGGGAAACAGGCCGCAGUGAAGAGUCCCAAGCAACUGUUUACCAAAAACACAGGUCUAUGCUAAGCUGAAAGGCGACGUAUAUGGGCUGACACCUGCCCAGUGCCGGAAGGUUAAGAGGAGGAGUGAGAGCUCCGAUUUGAAGCCCCGGUGAACGGCGGCCGUAACUAUAACGGUCCUAAGGUAGCGAAAUUCCUUGUCGGGUAAG
rnacentral:rRNA from 1 species